GAUGAACGCUAGCUACAGGCUUAACACAUGCAAGUCGAGGGGCAGCAUGAAAGGAACUUCGGUUCUUUUUGAUGGCGACCGGCGCACGGGUGCGUAACGCGUAUCGAACCUGCCUCAUACUCGGGGAUAGCCUUGCGAAAGUAAGAUUAAUACCCGGCGGUCUCGGAUGGCCGCAUGACUGUCCGAGUGAAGAUUUAUCGGUAUGAGAUGGCGAUGCGUCCCAUUAGCUAGUUGGUGAGGUAACGGCUCACCAAGGCAUCGAUGGGUAGGGGUUCUAGGAGGAAGGUCCCCCACAUUGGAACUGAGACACGGUCCAAACUCCUACGGGAGGCAGCAGUGAGGAAUAUUGGUCAAUGGACGAAAGUCUGAACCAGCCAAGUAGCGUGCAGGACGACGGCCCUCUGGGUUGUAAACUGCUUUUAGUUGGGAGUAAAAAGAGGGACGUGUCCCUUAUUGUAUGUACCAUCAGAAAAAGGACCGGCUAAUUCCGUGCCAGCCGCCGCCGUAA
rnacentral:rRNA from 1 species